rnacentral:lncRNA from 1 species
CAUUUUUCGGACAAUAAAAUAUGUUCAAAAGAGGGACGAAAGAUACCAGAGGGACAGUCAAACUCAUAAAUCGAAAAUAAACUGACAAUACCAUGGCUAAAAAUGAAAAAGACAAACAGACAAACAAUAGUACACAUGACACAACAUAGAAAACUAAAGAAUUAGAAAUACGAACCCCACCAAAAACUUAAUUAUUUCCGCC